rnacentral:rRNA from 1 species
AACGAACGCUGGCGGCAUGCCUAACACAUGCAAGUCGAACGAUGGCUUCGGCCAUAGUGGCGCACGGGUGAGUAACGCGUGGGAACCUGCCUUUUGGUUUGGGAUAACUCCGGGAAACUGGAGCUAAUACCGGAUGAGCCCGAGCAAUCGGGGAAAGAUUUAUCGCCAAAAGAGGGGCCCGCGUCCGAUUAGGUAGUUGGUGGGGUAACGGCCUACCAAGCCUACGAUCGGUAGCUGGUCUGAGAGGAUGAUCAGCCACACUGGGACUGAGACACGGCCCAGACUCCUACGGGAGGCAGCAGUGGGGAAUAUUGGACAAUGGGCGCAAGCCUGAUCCAGCAAUGCCGCGUGGAUGAUGAAGGCCUUAGGGUUGUAAAGUCCUUUCGGCGGGGACGAUGAUGACGGUACCCGCAGAAGAAGCCCCGGCUAACUUCGUGCCAGCCGCCGCAGUAA